AUAUGAACUUUCUCUUCCUUCUUCAUAAUUUGGUUUCUAUACCUAGUUAAACUGAUACCUGGAGGAUAAAUGAGUGGCGAAACUCAAAGGAUAUGGUGGAUCCCAUAGCUUCACCUCCCAGCGGAAAAUAACGUUAAACUGAAACCUGGAGGACGAAUGAGCGGUGAACCACAGAGAACCUAGCGGAUCCUACAGCUUCAUCUCUCAGCACAUAAUAACGUCUGUGGAAACUGUAACGCCUCCUGAACCGUCAAACCUCACCGCCGAGAAAUCAUGAUGUCUCAAGAAGAGGAGAUAACUACGCUACAUCGAUAUCUCAAAAUCCUUGCACAAUAUAAACGUGCACCAUACCCUGCUAUAACCUGAUGAUUUGCGAGAAAUGAAGAGGUUAAGCACUAAUCUCUAUUCAAUAUCCUAGACAGUAGCGCAGAACCAAUGUUCUACGUGAGCCUAGUCUUUUAAGCAUAAUGUGUUUUUGUUCCAUUUAAAACUA
rnacentral:lncRNA from 1 species